GAGAGAGUGGGGCAUGUAAAGAGCAAUGUGGUGGAAGAGAUGGAGAGAGAAUUGGAAGUCCUGUCAUGCUUUUCCACAGCUUUCUUGAACUUCUUUAGUCCUUGAAUGGCAUCUAGAAGUUCAAGGAAGUUGUGGGAAACCAUGGCAAUAAGGAUUUUUUAAUUGCAGGAGCACCCCACCUUUC
rnacentral:pre_miRNA from 1 species